rnacentral:rRNA from 1 species
GAUGAACGCUAGCUACAGGCUUAACACAUGCAAGUCGAGGGGUAACGAGAGGAAAGCUUGCUCUCCUUGUCGACGACCGGCGCACGGGUGAGUAACGCGUAUCCAACCUGCCCCCAACUAGGGAAUAACCUUGCGAAAGUAAGACUAAUACCCUAUAAUUUCCUCAGAUGUCAUCUGACGAGGAAUAAAGAUUUAUCGGUUGUGGAUGGGGAUGCGUCUGAUUAGCUUGUUGGCAGGGUAACGGCCCACCAAGGCAACGAUCAGUAGGGGUUCUGAGAGGAAGGUCCCCCACAUUGGAACUGAGACACGGUCCAAACUCCUACGGGAGGCAGCAGUGAGGAAUAUUGGUCAACGGGCGGAAGCCUGAACCAGCCAAGUAGCGUGCAGGAUGACGGCCCUAUGGGUUGUAAACUGCUUUUAUACAGGAAUAAAGUUAGCCACGUGUGGUUAUUUGUAGGUACUGUAUGAAUAAGGACCGGCUAAUUCCGUGCCAGCCGCCGCUGUAA